GUUAAUAUGGCGGAAUACGAAAUAGAGCCACUAAAAGUGCUCUAGCUUUUUAUGUAUCCAAGCAAAACUCAUGAUACUUUGAAAUAUCAUAAAGAAGAGGUUGUUCUUUGAUUUAAUUGUCACUAUGAGGAUGAGAAACGAAUUUAAGUGUGGAAUUUGGCCAUUGUCAUACAUCGAUUAAUUUCACCUCGGUCUUUGGCGAAUAGUGAUAAACAUAUAAAGUUAUAUAGCUUAUGUGUGGUUAGUCCGAUCGCCGUAAAAUAUGUUUUGAGUGAUAGGUUGGUGAUAUUUCAUGGUGUACAAAAGGAUUAAGGACGUGAAUGCCAUGAACAAUGAAGGAAAUAAAUCGAGUUCAUCGAACCUUCUGUGAAUCUGGGAUCACCUAUUCAAUACAGUGUAAUUCAACUUGGCAUAUUGGCCUACAAUCGUUUAAUAUAAAAUAAUAUUGCGAUAUGAAAGAAAUUGCUGGACCUACUUCUUCAAAAAUGAAUUUUGGGGAUAAUAUAUUGACUUGAACCUAUUGAAAUCCUUUGGCUGUGACUUUACAAAUUUGGUAUCACAAGUGACAAGGCCUCCUAUGACAUUAUCAUGACUGUUCAUUGAUAUUGGAAAAAUAGUUUAAAGAUCAAUGCUUGGAUGAAUCAGGGAACUUCAUUUACAAAACAGACAAUAAGAGACCUGAUUUAUCUUAACAACAGUUUAAAUUAUAAAUCUGUGAGAUUCUAAUAUACACUCUAGUUUUUAAGAUACAUAUUAACAGUUUACUCUACAAUGAGGGGAAAAUAAUCUGAAUAUGAGAAUUUUCUCUGUUACUCAAGUUUAUGUUACAUUUAGCACCAAGUAUAUUAUUGUUGCUAUCACCUUAGGGGCUGUUUACAUGAGCCCGGCUAGCCAUGCAGGCUGGCCCGGUUAACCAGGCUGAAGGCCUGGCUAGCCAGGAGGUUACCUGAGCUGGUGACUUUACAUGGAGAAAUUUCAGCCCGGUUAUCCGGGCAUCCCAUUUGACUCAAGUGAGAUCUCGGCUAGGCAGAUUCUUGUUAAAUGAUUUGUAUUAAUCUGGGUGCCUCGGUUAACAGGACUAGUCGGACUCAUGUAAAUAGCC